rnacentral:rRNA from 1 species
AGAUUAAGUUAUUAAGGGCGCACGGUGGAUGCCUUGGCACUAGAAGCCGACGAAGGACGUUACUAACGACGAUAUGCUUUGGGGAGCUGUAAGUAAGCUUUGAUCCAGAGAUUUCCGAAUGGGGAAACCCAGCACGAGUUAUGUCGUGUUAUCGAUAUGUGAAUACAUAGCAUAUCUGAAGGCAGACGCGGAGAACUGAAACAUCUUAGUACCCGCAGGAAGAGAAAGAAAAAUCGAUUCCCUGAGUAGCGGCGAGCGAAACGGGAAGAGCCCAAACCAACGAGCUUGCUUGUUGGGGUUGUAGGACACUCUAUACGGAGUUACAAAAGAACAGACUAGACGAAUCAUCUGGAAAGAUGAAUCAAAGAAGGUAAUAAUCCUGUAGUCGAAAGUUUGUUCACUCUUGAGUGGAUCCUGAGUACGACGGAACACGAGAAAUUCCGUCGGAAUCUGGGAGGACCAUCUCCCAAGGCUAAAUACUCUCUAGUGACCGAUAGUGAACCAGUACCGUGAGGGAAAGGUGAAAAGUACCCCGGAAGGGGAGUGAAAUAGAACUUGAAACCGUGUGCUUACAAGUAGUCAGAGCCCGUUAAUGGGUGAUGGCGUGCCUUUUGUAGAAUGAACCGGCGAGUUACGAUUUGAUGCAAGGUUAAGCAGUGAAUGUGGAGCCGUAGCGAAAGCGAGUCUGAAUAGGGCGUUGAGUAUUUGGUCGUAGACCCGAAACCAGGCGAUCACCCAUGACCAGGUUGAAGUUCAGGUAACACUGAAUGGAGGACCGAACCGACUUACGUUGAAAAGUGAGCGGAUGAGUUGUGGGUAGCGGAGAAAUUCCAAUCGAACCUGGAGAUAGCUGGUUCUCUCCGAAAUAGCUUUAGGGCUAGCCUCAAGUGAUGAUUAUUGGAGGUAGAGCACUGUUUGGACGAGGGGCCCUUAUCGGGUUACCGAAUUCAGACAAACUCCGAAUGCCAAUCAAUUUAACUUGGGAGUCAGAACGCGGGUGAUAAGGUCCGUGUUCGAAAGGGAAACAGCCCAGACCACCAGCUAAGGUCCCAAAAUAUAUGUUAAGUGGAAAAGGAUGUGGCGUUGCCCAGACAACUAGGAUGUUGGCUUAGAAGCAGCCAUCAUUUAAAGAGUGCGUAAUAGCUCACUAGUCGAGUGACACUGCGCCGAAAAUGUACCGGGGCUAAACAUAUUACCGAAGCUGUGGAUUGUCCGUAAGGACAAUGGUAGGAGAGCGUUCUAAGGGCGUUGAAGCAUGAUCGCAAGGACAUGUGGAGCGCUUAGAAGUGAGAAUGCCGGUGUGAGUAGCGAAAGACGGGUGAGAAUCCCGUCCACCGAUUGACUAAGGUUUCCAGAGGAAGGCUCGUCCGCUCUGGGUUAGUCGGGUCCUAAGCUGAGGCCGAUAGGCGUAGGCGAUGGAUAACAGGUUGAUAUUCCUGUACCACCAUUAUUCGUUUUAAGCGAUGGGGGACGCAGUAGGAUAGGCGAAGCGUACGAUUGGAUUGUACGUCCAAGCAGUGAGAUUGAGUGUUAGGCAAAUCCGGCACUCUUAAGAUUGAGCUGUGAUGGGGAGAGGAAAUUGUUUCCUCGAGUCGUUGAUUUCACACUGCCAAGAAAAGCCUCUAGCUAGAAUUGUGGUGCCCGUACCGCAAACCGACACAGGUAGUCAAGAUGAGAAUUCUAAGGUGAGCGAGCGAACUCUCGUUAAGGAACUCGGCAAAAUGACCCCGUAACUUCGGGAGAAGGGGUGCUCUUUAGGGUUAACGCCCAGGAGAGCCGCAGUGAAUAGGCCCAAGCGACUGUUUAUCAAAAACACAGGUCUCUGCUAAACCGUAAGGUGAUGUAUAGGGGCUGACGCCUGCCCGGUGCUGGAAGGUUAAGAGGAGUGGUUAGCUUCUGCGAAGCUACGAAUCGAAGCCCCAGUAAACGGCGGCCGUAACUAUAACGGUCCUAAGGUAGCGAAAUUCCUUGUCGGGUAAGUUCCGACCCGCACGAAAGGCGUAACGAUUUGGGCACUGUCUCAACGAGAGACUCGGUGAAAUCAUAGUACCUGUGAAGAUGCAGGUUACCCGCGACAGGACGGAAAGACCCCGUGGAGCUUUACUGUAGUCUGAUAUUGAAAUUCGGCACAGCUUGUACAGGAUAGGUAGGAGCCUGAGAUACGUGAGCGCUAGCUUACGUGGAGGCGUUGGUGGGAUACUACCCUCGCUGUGUUGGAUUUCUAACCCGCACCAUUUAUCAUGGUGGGAGACAGUGUCAGAUGGGCAGUUUGACUGGGGCGGUCGCCUCCUAAAGAGUAACGGAGGCGCUCAAAGGUUUCCUCAGAAUGGUUGGAAAUCAUUCAUAGAGUGUAAAGGCAUAAGGAAGCUUGACUGCGAGACUUACAAGUCGAGCAGGGUCGAAAGACGGACUUAGUGAUCCGGUGGUUCCGCAUGGAAGGGCCAUCGCUCAACGGAUAAAAGCUACCCCGGGGAUAACAGGCUUAUCUCCCCCAAGAGUUCACAUCGACGGGGAGGUUUGGCACCUCGAUGUCGGCUCAUCGCAUCCUGGGGCUGUAGUCGGUCCCAAGGGUUGGGCUGUUCGCCCAUUAAAGCGGUACGCGAGCUGGGUUCAGAACGUCGUGAGACAGUUCGGUCCCUAUCCGUCGUGGGCGUAGGAAAUUUGAGAGGAGCUGUCCUUAGUACGAGAGGACCGGGAUGGACAUACCUCUGGUGUACCAGUUGUCGUGCCAACGGCAUCGCUGGGUAGCUAUGUAUGGACGGGAUAAGUGCUGAAAGCAUCUAAGCAUGAAGCCCCCUCAAGAUGAGAUUUCCCAACUUCGGUUAUAAGAUCCCUCAAAGAUGAUGAGGUUAAUAGGUUCGAGGUGGAAGCAUAGCGAUAUGUGCAGCUGACGAAUACUAAUCGAUCGAAGACUUAAUCAAAUUUUA